GGUUAAAGUCCUGUUUGCCAUUAACUACAAAGCAACGCAGAGAGAGAUCAAGUCAAUCUUCGAGUGUGCCACUGAUGUUUGAAAUGUAUUCAUUAAACAAAGAAACUGCAGGAACAGGGGAUAUUGACUGCAGCACAGGUGACAAAGAAUAAUGUUAGUUAGCGUGAGUGAAAACAGAGCAUACCAGGGAUCCUGGCUAGACACUUCAGUUUCUAACCCAAUGGUCUGUGAACUUCAUUGCUCCUGCUACCCAUGGAGUUUGGUGCCCCAAAACCUGACAUAAUACACUGGCGCAGGCCUUAAACAGUGCUGAGACGGUUGCUCAAGACAAUGCAACAUGGUAUCAAAGAGUCAGAAUAUCUGUGACCUAUCACUUUUCCACUUCACUUGUGUCCAGUUACCCUGUUUUAAAAGAUUGUAAAAAGUCAAGGCCCAGUCACAAUGUGCACCCCUGACCACAGUGCACAGCAUUUAUGAAGGCAGCCUGCAAAUGUGAACAGAAAUAAGGAAGUAACAUGGAAUAGGCCCCCAACCAGCAAACUGAGAAAGAUGAGUUGUGACUUAUCUAGUCCUGGCUGAGAGGUCUAGUUCUGUCAUGGGGCUGAAAAGAUGUCUGACAAUAAUAAUUCCUCUGAUAAAGGCAAAAAAUACAAGAAGUCUGGUUCUGAAUUCAAAGUCCAAAAAGGACCCUGCAGCUAAACCGAAUCCAGAUUAAAAUGAGACUCAUCUUCACUGAGCUUUAAACAUGGUCCCUACAUUUUCAUUAUCCAGUACAACAGUGCUAGGGAAGGUGACUUCCCUACUUUCUUCGCUGGUCUUGCUUCAAGCAAAGCACAGAUGUCAUCAGACCUGAGAGGGUGCCUGGGACCUGUUCAGAAAGUCCAAAAGAUCCUGAAGUUUACCUUCUGCCAAGGGGAAGCCAGUAAGUGAAUGUCUGACAAAGUCUCUUAAAAAUUGGAAAACAGCCUCUAAGAAAAAAACAAACCCAAACUCUCAACUCUUUUGGAAGACUGGUUUACCUUCAGUCCUUCCCUUUUAAUUAGCACCAACCAGGAAUUUGCUGACCAGCGUGUUCCACAAUAUGUCGUUACCAACAGUUUGGAAAUUAAAGCACACAGAGUACAGGCCCUUAGAAGAUUCUGCUACUUCAUUAUAAAAAAUAUCCUUCACUUGAUCUUCCAGAUUUAAUGCUUUGUAGUAAACCCUAACUGUGAGAUUGCCUAUGUCUGUUUCUUCUUUAUCAUCAUGCAUGUGCUUUGAGCUCCAUUUUAGACAUCAGACCACAUGAUAUCCUUCCUUGCUUUUAACCUGCUUCUACUUCCUGAAUGAUCUGUAUCCUUUAUAUUAAUAUUCCAGCCAUAUGAAUUCUCCCACCAAGAGAGUGGGAGAAUCUCUCUGUUAUGCCAGUUCAGCUGUAAUCAUGAUCCAUUCUUAAGAUUUUCAGGUUUUCUUGUUUAUUCUUUAUAUUUUUUCCAUUAGUAUGACUGUUAAAAACACUCAUGACUGACUUGCUGUUUUG